rnacentral:rRNA from 1 species
UACGUAGGGGGCUAGCGUUGUCCGGAAUCAUUGGGCGUAAAGCGCGUGUAGGCGGCCCGGUAAGUCCGCUGUGAAAGUCGGGGGCUCAACCCUCGGAUGCCGGUGGAUACUGUCGGGCUCGAGUACGGAAGAGGCGAGUGGAAUUCCAGGUGUAGCGGUGAAAUGCGUAGAUAUCUGGAGGAACACCGGUGGCGAAGGCGGCAUCCUGGACCGACACUGACGCUGAGGAGCGAAAGCCAGGGGAGCAAACGGG